rnacentral:tRNA from 1 species
GGGCCAUUAGCUCAGUUGGUUAGAGCGCCCGGCUCAUAACCG